UACGUAGGGUGCAAGCGUUAAUCGGAAUUACUGGGCGUAAAGCGUGCGCAGGCGGUUUUGUAAGUCUGACGUGAAAUCCCCGGGCUCAACCUGGGAAUUGCGUUGGAGACUGCAAGGCUAGAAUCUGGCAGAGGGGGGUAGAAUUCCGACGUGUGAGCAGUGAAAUGCGUAGAGAUGUGGAGGAACACCGAUGGCGAAGGCAGCCCCUGGGUCAAGAUUGACGCUCAUGCACGAA
rnacentral:rRNA from 1 species